GAGCAUCCUAACUACUAUACUAGGAAUAUGUAAGUAAACAUCUUUAUUUAUUCAAAUAAAUUUACCUCUGGUUUACUAUAGUAUCAUACAGUUAUGCUGGCAUCAAUAUAUGAACAGGACAAUCAAAGUUCUUUCCCCUUUGUGUAGAAGCACCUUGGUCUUUAUUGCUUUGCUGGGGGCCAGUCCGUGACAGCGCUGUGAUUACUUUACCGUGCUCGCUACCUGAUGCUCCUGGUGUGUGAAGAGGACCACCCUGAGAUGGCUUUAAUGGAUAGUAAGAUAGGUCUUGUGCUUCAUUGUAUGUUGGCCUGUGUUCUUGCCCUGACCUCCAAAUAUCAGGGACCCUCAUCUCUCAAACUGGCAUAAAGUCAUCACUUUUGGAAAAGGUGCAUGAAAGUAAAGGAGAUUUCCGUGCUGCAUUGACGCAUGAAAAGGAGCGUUAUGGCAUAUACAGAAAGCAGGUUGGAGAAGACCAUGAGAAGACCCAAGAAAGUUCAGAGACCUAAAGCAUCUGACACAUCAAGCAGUGAUUCUACAGAAAACUAUGAACUGGAUCUGCAAAACUGGCUCAGACACCAAUAUUCUCCCUCUCAGUGUUAGUAUUGUACAUAACAUAGAGAAUACGUGUGUCUUAGUUGAUGCAUAGUUGUAUAAUAAUGAUGAAUUAAUUACACUGUCUUUGGCUUUGCUUCAUCCUCAUAUAGCUGAACUCUCAAAGUUGUCUGGAUAACAGAGCAACUAAAUCUUGUCAUUGGGAUUGUCCUUUUUUCUCUUAGGUAAGAGAGACCUGAAAGUGUACUAGGAACUGUUUAAUUGCUCUUUAACAUUUAAUGACUCUUUAACAUGCAACCAUAUUUUUAUUCCCUGAAGUAACCUUUAGAAACUCAUGACUGAUGCUCAGAAAAUGUGUAUAUAUAUAUGUGUGUGUAUAUAUAUAUAUAUAUAUAUAUAUAUAUAUAUAUAUAGUAAUAUAUAUAUAUAUAUAUAUAUAUAUAUAUAUAUAUAUAUAUAUAUAUACUGGUCAUUUAUGUCUUCCUUUGUACAUUGUGUGAAUAUU
rnacentral:lncRNA from 1 species